GGAUUAUUAGCUCAGUGGUAGAGUAGAGGACUGCAAAUCCUUUGGUCACAAGUUCAAUCCUUGUAUAAUCCU
rfam:Dictyostelium fasciculatum unplaced genomic scaffold Scf_ETAJFTG02HR96I-5, whole genome shotgun sequence.